rnacentral:lncRNA from 1 species
UAAAGGUGUAGAUACAGAUUUCAGCUGUUAACUGGGCUGUCUUUUCGAAUCAUUUCUAUUGUGUUUUGGUUUUCAGUCUUCCAAACACCAACCUGCAUAAUACUUUUUCAAAUCAUUUCCUUCGUUUUCCUUUUAGUCUUCCAAACAGCAACAUCCAUAUACAGCUCCUUGAUUAAUUUGGUGCGUCAACUCUCUUCCCAAUGACGCUUUCUCAGUUACUCUUCAUCUCUUUAUCUGUCUCCAUCUGAGUCACUGUGUUACUUCACACGGAAUUCAAUCGCCUUCUCUUCAUCAUCUUCCAUGUUCCUUUUCGAGAAAAUCUGAAGUCAAGAAGCAAAGGUAUUGUGGCACGUUAAAAUUGCAACCAAAAUAAAUCAGUUUCUCAGAGAAGAUAAGAGAAAUCAAGAGAAAGAAGGCAGUUCAUCAGAAAAUUUAUCGCCACUGCAAUGUAUCGGCCUAUUUAAGCCCUCAAUUUCGGCCUUAUAAGCAAGUCAAGUACGCCUUAUCAAAGUUUAUGGUUUCAUCUCAUCAAUUACCUCCUCUUUCCCCGUGGAUGAGAACCCUUAUCUUCCCCUCAAAAUCUUAGAUUCUGUGACGCCCCAAAAUAAGACCACACGACCCAUUCUGAGUCGCCAUAUAUCACACUAUAAAAAUUAAUACAAACUUCAUUUAUACAACUAUUGAAC